UUACUUCAUAGAUACGCAAUUUUACUUAUCUAUCCAUAGCUUCAUAGAUACGGAUCUUAACGUUUUAUCCAUAGCUUCAUAGAUACGUAAUCCUACGUAUUCGUAAUGUAGGGGCAUUUAUUUUCAUACCUGAUGCUUGUUUAUGCGCUAUAAAUUCAUAUUCAUGAAGUAUAAACAUCGAUUAAUACAAUGCACUAAAAAAAACACUAUGUUACUAUUUAAAGAAUUUCGGAAAAUCGCAAAAUAAGGUCACUGGUAUCAAAGAUGCGUAAAACGUUGACUGCGCAGGUUUGUGGGCAUUCCUGUCUCGUUUUCCUCGUGGAAAUUUACACAAUACUGCAAGUUAUAAUUAACUACCAAUAAUACAACUAUAUUUUAUUGAUCACGCGCCUGACGUCACAGGUCAUGGUUCGAAAACGUGUCAAAAUGUCGGCCAUGUUGGAUAAACAAAAAAUCAUCUGGCUUGUAUAAACAAAGGCCAUAAAUCAUUAUAUGGGACAUAUGUGUCACUUCUGUUUCGCUAAUCCGGUCAUAAAAAUGCGCAUCUGCUUCUACAAAUUGAAAUGUUUGUCUGACGAAUCGGAACAUUCUGGCUUCAAUUAAAAUGAGUUUGAGACAUUGAGUACGACGUCGAGAAUUCAGACCUCGGCGUCACGCACACAAGGAUACGAGAAAUGAGGAUUUUUAAAAUCAAACCCAAAUGACAAUACAUGGACAUGCAAUAAACGAUAUAAAUUUAGUAAACAAUAACAUGCAGGCCUCAUUUAGUAGUUGAAUAAUAACUUUAUUUGUUCAUUGUAGUGUUAAAUAACCGAAAGUUAUACGUACUGUGACUGUUGAUCAACUUUUUUUUUCUUCUGUAUCAUAUAUAUAAAUAUACCGUGCUUCUUUGUUGUGAACUAUUUUUUAAUUCUGUCCAUCUUUGUUUCAAUUCAGGUUGCAUUAAAUGAAUUAUAAAAAUAUGUUGUUUAUAUAAUAUUUCGUGUUAUGUUUGAUAAAUAAAAGUGUAAUAAAAAUUAAUUUUCAUCAAAUUUGA